rnacentral:tRNA from 1 species
GGGGGUAUAGCUCAGUGUAGAGCAUGUGCUUAGCAUGUGUGAGGUCCUGGGUUCAAUCCCUAGUACCUCCA